GGGAAUGUAGCUUAGUGGUAGAGUGCUUGCCUAGCAUGCAUGAAGCCCUGGGUUCGAUUCCUCAGUACCA
rfam:Dipodomys ordii contig_22826, whole genome shotgun sequence.